rnacentral:rRNA from 1 species
GUGCUAUUAGAUGAGCCCACGUCCGAUUAGCUUGUUGGUGAGGUAACGGCUCACCAAUGCGACGAUCGGUAGCUGGUCUGAGAGGAUGAUCAGCCACACUGGGACUGAGACACGGCCCAGACUCCUACGGGAGGCAGCAGUGGGGAAUAUUGGACAAUGGGCGAAAGCCUGAUCCAGCAAUGCCGCGUGUGUGAAGAAGGCCUGCGGGUUGUAAAGCACUUUCAGUGGGGAGGAAACACAGCGGGUUAAUACCCCGUUGGAUUGACGUUACCCACAGAAGAAGCACCGGCUAACUCCGUGCCAGCAGCCGCGGUAAGACGGAGGGUGCAAGCGUUAAUCGGAAUUACUGGGCGUAAAGCGCACGUAGGCGGCUGAGUAAGUCGGAUGUGAAAGCCCCGGGCUUAACCUGGGAAUUGCAUUCGAUACUGCUCGGCUAGAGUUUGGUAGAGGGAAGCGGAAUUUCCGGUGUAGCGGUGAAAUGCGUAGAUGUCGGAAGGAACACCAGUGGCGAAGGCGGCUUCCUGGACCAAAACUGACGCUGAGGUGCGAAAGCGUGGGUAGCAAACAGGAUUAGAUACCCUGGUAGUCCACGCCCUAAACGAUGAGAACUAGACGUUGGGGGUAUUUAGACCCUUUGUGUCGCAGCAAACGCGUUAAGUUCUCCGCCUGGGGAGUACGGCCGCAAGGUUGAAACUCAAAGUAAUUGACGGGGGCCUGCACAACCGGUGGAGCAUGUGGUUUAAUUCGAUGCAACGCGAAGAACCUUACCUGCCCUUGACAUCCUCGGAACCCUGCAGAGAUGCGGGGGUGCCUUCGGGAACCGAGUGACAGGUGCUGCAUGGCUGUCGUCAGCUCGUAUCGUGAGAUGUUGGGUUAAGUCCCGCAACGAGCGCAACCCUUGUCCCUAGUUGCCAGCGAUUCGGCCGGGAACUCUAGGGAGACUGCCGGUGAUAAACCGGAGGAAGGUGGGGAUGACGUCAAGUCAUCAUGGCCCGUACGGGCAGGGCUACACACGUGCUACAAUGGCUGGUACAGUAAGUGGCGAAGCCGCGAGG